GAGCACGAAGCAUUUCUAGCUUCAAAAUUCUGACCGAACAGCCUCAUACUUCAAAGAUUUUCAUUACGCUACACCGAUGAUUUUUUUUGGAAGCCGGACAGAGUUGAGCAUAUUUUUUUUACAAUGUCUGACUCUUCUUUCUGCCACCACGAUUCACCACGUGUAAUGCAUCACAUUCCUGUGAUGCGAACAAUUUUGAGUUCACAGUACACCGUUGUCCUAACUCUGACCAUUGUAAACACACACACGUAUCAAACAGGACUUCAGGCGGCAGAACCACGAAUCAGACACCCGGGAAAGAACGUGAGCUGAAAAGCGGUUGACACGCCUGCUGAGUCGAUUUUUGGUCACCUAAUGCUUUAUUCGCUCUACGAGUCUAGAGUUCAAAUAUCAACGCAGGGUGAGCUUUCCAGAGAAUUUGAAUGUGGUCAGAUACGUGGCUUCUCUUCCGAGUGGUCUGGAUCUUGCUCUUCCUGGUUGGGUUGGGAACAUCCGGGGACCCAUCAGCCACGACCAAACCGAUGGUUCCGCCUCAAACUCUCAGAACUCAAAAGGAAAUAGAGGCGGCUAUGGUUAAGAGUGAGAUCAUACCUGACCUCUUUCUCGAAGCACCUAAAAAACUUCAGGCAGUACUUGUGGAAUUUGAAGGAAACUCUACCGCUGAUUUAGGAAAUCAUCUGCCACUUCGAGAUUUAAAGCAUCAAAUAAUACCAUUCAUCCAGUGGAGGGCAAAUGAAACGGAUUAUCACACUUUGAUGAUACUUAAUCUUGAUGUUCCCACAAGAGAAAAACCAUCACAGCGCGAGAUGUGACACAGCGGAUUGUCUGGCUUAGGGUGAACAUUCCAGGGUGCCAUGUCAUGCGUGGUCACCAAAUAAUCGAAUAUGAAGUGCCCAAUCCAGAGGAAGACACAGGAUCUCAUCGAUAUGUUGCUCUUGUUUAUUACCAGAAACAAGGCAAGCAAAAGUUUCGUGAGUUCGGACUCAACAUCGUACCUGGUAACCUACCGCAGGAGUGUAUUCGGCAAAAAUUUCAGUCUCGGUUUUUUGCAGCUGAUUACGACUUAGAUGGACCAACUGGCAUAAAUUUCUGGGAAACUCAAUGGGAGGAGAUAAUAUAAGCUCUGCAAACUUUGAACCUCAAUCGAUAUGAAAGUUUUAAUGGAUAUAUCUGUUAUUAAAUUGUAAUAAGUCAUUGAUUGAUGUUAUAUCUUAUUUUUAUAAUCAAUUCGUUACGUA